UCUUUAGAGGGUCCAACUUGCUUCCAGAUCUCGCACCGAUCUGGAUCACUCUUUUGACUCUUCUUCUUCCAAUUCAUUUGCCGCCGCAGAUCUCACUCUCUGAUCCAAGCCGUCAUGGCAGCUGCCAACGCUCCGAUCGCCAUGAGAGAAGCUCUCACCUUGCCAAGCAUUGACAUAAAUCCGCAGUUCAUCACUUUCACGCAUGUGACGAUGGAGUCUGAUAAGUAUAUAUGCGUUUGAGAAACGGCUCCGCAGAAUAGUGUGGUUAUCAUUGAUAUGAACAUGUCGAAUCAGCCUUUGAGGAGGCCUAUUACGACAGAUUCUGCUCUUAUGAAUCCAAAUUCCAGAAUCCUUGCUUUGAAAGUGAUCAUACUCUUAAGGUGUGGAGUAUGGAUGGCCUCUCAGACAAUAUGACAAUGCCAAUUAAUUUAAAAGCAAAAGUUGUUGUUGCAGCUCAUGAUAAAGAUAUAAAUUCUGUAGCUGUUGCUCCAAAUGAUAGUUUAGUAUGUAGUGGUUCUCAGGAAGAGGGAGUUGUGAAAGGUCAAGAGCUAGAGAAUGUUGUCUCAGAUGCUGACUAUACUAAAGCAAUCCAAAUCGCAUUUGAACUGCGCAGGCCUCAUAGGCUUUUUGAGCUAUUUGUAGAACUUU